AGUGAACGCUGGCGGCAGGCCUAACACAUGCAAGUCGAACGGCAGCACAGGAGAGCUUGCUCUCUGGGUGGCGAGUGGCGGACGGGUGAGGAAUGCGUCGGAAUCUGCCUAUUUGUGGGGGAUAACGUAGGGAAACUUACGCUAAUACCGCAUACGACCUACGGGUGAAAGGUGGGGGACCGCAAGGCCUCACGCAGAUA
rnacentral:rRNA from 1 species